rnacentral:rRNA from 1 species
UGGGGAAUAUUGCGCAAUGGGCGAAAGCCUGACGCAGCGACGCCGCGUGAGGGAUGAAGGUUUUCGGAUCGUAAACCUCUGUCAGAAGGGAAGAAACCGCACUGUGCUAAUCAGCAGUGCCUUGACGGUACCUUCAAAGGAAGCACCGGCUAACUCCGUGCCAGCAGCCGCGGUAAUACGGAGGGUGCAAGCGUUAAUCGGAAUUACUGGGCGUAAAGCGCACGUAGGCUGCUUUGUAAGUCAGGGGUGAAAUCCCACGGCUCAAACGUGGAACUGCCUUUGAUACUGCUUAGCUUGAAUCCGGGAGAGGGUGGCGGAAUUCCAGGUGUAGGAGUGAAAUCAGUAGAUAUCUGGAGGAACAUCAGUGGCGAAGGCGGCCACCUGGACCGGUAUUGACGCUGAGGUGCGAACGCGUGGGGAGCAAACAGG